rnacentral:misc_RNA from 1 species
AAGUCGUAACAAGGUAACCGUAGGUGAACCUGCGGUUGGAUCAUUACCAAUUUUCUUUUUCUUUUCACGUGAAUUCACGGUUUCGUGAUCCGUGAAAAAGAGAAAAAGGAGACUCUUAUGUGAACCUGUAAUUGUACAUUGGCGGUUGUCCAGUGCUUUGUGCUGGACUUGCAUUCAGUUGCAAGGCCGUCAAUUUGUUUUUCUUAAACACAUCUAAAAGUUUACAUUUCUACUAUUUUUUAUUGUUACUUUCACUAAAAGAAACCAAGAACAACUAUUAACAAUGGAUCUCUUGGCUCUC